UAUUGCACAAUGGGGGAAACCCUGACGCAGCGACGCCGCGUGCGUGCAGAAGUAUUUCGGUAUGUAAAGUCCUAUCAGCAGGGAAGAAAAUGACGGUACCUGAAUAAGAAGCCCCGGCUGACUACGUGCCAGCAGCCGCGGUAAUACGUAGGGGGCAAGCGUUAUCCGGAUUUACUGGGUGUAAAGGGAGCGUAGACGGCAGCACAAGUCUGGAGUGAAAUGCCGGGGCUUAACCCCGGAACUGCUUUGGAAACUGUGCAGCUAGAGUGCAGGAGAGGUAAGUGGAAUUCCUAGUGUAGCGGUGAAAUGCGUAGAUAUUAGGAGGAACACCAGUGGCAAAGGCGGCUUACUGGACUGUAACUGACGUUGAGGCUCGAAAGCGUGGGGAGCAAACAGG
rnacentral:rRNA from 1 species